rnacentral:rRNA from 1 species
AUGCCCCCCCCCCCCCUCGGUGAGCCAUGGUUGAUUAAUGGAGACUUCAACAUCAUUUACAAAUCUUGGGACAAGAACAACCUCAACCUAAACUGGAGAAUCAUGGGAAUGUUCAGAUCGGCAAUUGACAGAGCAGGCCUAAGAGAGAUUAAGUGCAAAAAUAGAAGAUUUACUUGGACAAAUGAGAGGGAAAAUCCAACGAUGGUUAGCAUUGAUAAAGUUUUCUGCAACAUGGAAUGGGAGGCUAUAUUCCCCUCCGUCAUUCUCAUGGUUGAAUCCACGGCCUGCUCGGAUCAUUGCCCUCUUUUGCUGGCGAAUACUGCUACCCCAUGCAGGCGGCCGGCCUUCCGUUUUGAAACUUUCUGGCCAAAGUUUCAACACUUCUAG